UAGUGAGAAUCAUUUUUUUUCUUUAUGUUUUUAUUUUUUGGAAGGUCAAGAUUGCCAAAAGAGUCAUUGUUUUGAUGAAUUCUUUAUAGCUAAAGCAUCAUAGACUUGUAAUUGAAUUCUAUCUUAUAUUGCCAAAAAGAUGUAGAAGGGGAGAGGUUCAACCAAAUAUUAAACGAGGAGAUUCAGAAAUGAUGAAUAGUCUGUUUUAGCUAACAUCACAAGGCAUGAGCAGCCGGUUACAGCAUUCCAAAACGUACCAUAUGUUGAAUCAAAUUUUAUUUCUUUUUAUCAAUUAUUGUCACUGAUUUGGUACCUUUUUGACAUCAAUGCAAGUUGUAGUGGCGCAAGGAAGCUUUCUAAAUGACAGUUGAUGGCGGAACUGUUUGAGUUUUUUUUUUUUUUCCCUUCUUUUCAUGCUUUUCUUGGGGAUUUGAACAGUUCCAAACUGCUGUAGAAUCUUUACACAUCUUUUUAUUGUACCUUCUUUGGAUAGCCCAGGAAAUAUUUUCCAGUUUAUCACACAAGACACAGCAUUUCCAGAUAAUUCAUAGGACUGGGGUGCCCUUUAACUCCAUGCUUUUUUUCAAUGAUGAGGAUAGGAAUAUUGAAUCGGUUUCCAAAAUGGGAGUAACAAGCAUUUUGGUAGGCAAUGGGUUAAAUAUUGGAGCAUUAAGGCAAGGGCUCACGAAAUUCUCUCAGAACUCAGCUUCAUCUGGAAACACCAAACGGAACUGAAUGCUAUUUUGGAAAAGAUUGUUCCCAGAUGUAAUCUUAUAUGUGGUUGCUUAUGGCAUAUACCUAUCAUAUGGUCUUAAAAUUCCAAUUACACUCUAAAAUCAUAUGAAGCCUAGCAUGCUAAAGUCAUAAUGACAACACUCAACACCAUUGGUAUUCUAUCUUUCCUUUGUUUUUC